rnacentral:rRNA from 1 species
AACGCGAAGAACCUUACCUACCCUUGACAUGCCAGGAAUUUUGCAGAGAUGUGAAAGUGCCGAAAGGAACCUGGACACAGGUGCUGCAUGGCUGUCGUCAGCUCGUGUUGUGAGAUGUUGGGUUAAGUCCCGUAACGAGCGCAACCCUUAUCCUUAGUUGCCAACACGUAAUGGUGGGGACUCUAAGGAGACUGCUGGUGAAGAACGUGGAAGGACGGGCGGACG